rnacentral:lncRNA from 1 species
UUUACUUUGUUGUCAAGUACUAAGUAGGGCACCUAUUACCACUGUUCGAGCAUAUCAGGCAGAAAAAAUAGAAAAGAAAGAAUGUAGGCUAGACCUGGACUUUUUCCAUGAAAUGAAAGCCCUAAUAAAAACUAAAUUGUGUACAAGAAGACAUUGGGAAAAAUACAUCUAUGAGUGAAAGCAUCAACAGUGCGAACAGAUUAAUUGUUGCUUUACGCUAUGUAGGCACAGGGCUCAUUAAAAAGGGUAAGCUUUUCCACGACAAUUGCAUAUAAUUUUUCUAAAUUAGCAAUAAAUUUAAUAGCAAAUGGCAGUUUUCACAUUGUCUAGAAGCUAUGGAUGGAAACAUGGUGAACUUUCAACCUCUCAGAAGGGAUACUAUAGAAAUUAUAAAGGAACUGACAGCCAUUACUUUUUGCUGUAUUAUAUUAUGCAGAUGGUCAAUUUCUUAUUGCAGAUAUAAGAAGAAAUGAUCCAAAUAUAUCAGAUUUGAAUUUCAGAUUUUUUAAUAGCUAUUGGUGCAGUUAGCAACAUUCGGCUGUGAAUAAGUUUAAAAUGUAAAUUAUUUUAGUGCGUUUUUAGUUAAACCUUAUUGUAUAUUUGAAGAUUUACAAUUAUUAUUACACUGAUAAUUAAUAUAA